UACGAAGGGGGCUAGCGUUGCUCGGAAUCACUGGGCGUAAAGCGCACGUAGGCGGAUUCCUAAGUCGGUGGUGAAAUCCUGGAGCUCAACUCCAGAACUGCCUCCGAUACUGAGAGUCUUCGAGUCCGGAAGAGGUGAGUGGAACUGCGAGUGUAGAGGUGAAAUUCGUAGAUAUUCGCAAGAACACCAGUGGCGAAGGCGGCUCACUGGCCCGGUACUGACGCUGAGGUGCGAAAGCGUGGGGAGCAAACAGG
rnacentral:rRNA from 1 species